rnacentral:lncRNA from 1 species
GAUGUUCGGAUGCUAAUUAGGAGAACUAAACAUGAGCUAAUUAUAAAACUAAUUGCAUAACACUGUGCUAAUUCGCGAGACAAAUCUAUUAAACCUAAUUAAUCCAUCAUUAGUAAAUGGUUACUGUAGCACCACAUUGUCAAAUCAUGGACUAAUUAGGCUUAAUAGAUUCGUCUCACGAAUCACACUCCAUCUGUGCAAUUAGUUUUUUAAUUAGUCUAUGUUUAAUACUCAUAACUAGCAUCCAAACAUCUCGAUGUGAUGGGUGUUAAACUUUAACACCUUGUUGCCAAACAGGCUUUUAGUAAAACAACAAAUGUCUAUAAUGCUAUUAUCCUUUUUUUCUUCUUCCUUUUCUCUUCUUUUCUUCGUAUUUCCGGCGUCCCAAAAUAAAUGCAAUUAUUUUUUUCCUACUUCCUCCGUC